GGGACGGCGACGGCGACGGCGAGGGCGACGAUGAUGACGAAGAUGAGGAAGACGAGGAAGACCCCGGGAGCGGCGAGGUAGCGAACGGGGGCGUUGCCCACGCGCGCGGCGGCGUGGCUUCGCAUCCGGUGGAGGUGAAUGGGGUGAUCGAUGUGGACGAGGAAGAGAGCGAUGCUGAUGAGGUCGUCCCGAACGGGGGAGUUGAGCACAGCCAUGGGGCAAACGGCUUUCGUGUCGCUGCUGCUGGAGAAGCCCCUGGCGAGGAGGAUGAGGACGUGGAGGAUGAUGAUGACGAUGAUGACGACUUUGAGGAGGAGGAUGAUUUGGGGGAGGAGAUUGAUGAGGAUGUUGAUGACGAGGAUGCUGUUGUGGAGGUGCAUGAUGUACCAAGUAGUGAUGAGGAGGAAGAUGGCGUUGAAGAGGAGGAAGAUGAUGAAGAGGAGGAUGAAGAUGAUGAAGAGGAGGAGGAGGUUGAGGAUGAAGGUGAAGAGACAGAGCCACAAAUCAGUGCUAGGGUUGCCAUGAUGACAGGGGAGGAUGGAGGAGAAG
rnacentral:lncRNA from 1 species